UCUAAUGGAGAUGUGUUGAUCUUUCCAGAUAUGAUCAGAUACAAAGCCUUCUAACUAAUAAGCUUGUUUAGGCUUUUAAAGCCAACUGCUUCUUAUUUUUUCAAUCUGUAACAUAAUGCUUGCAGAGGUCUGACUCAUUUUGACGUCGACAACUUUGUUGAAGAAGUACUUGUGAAGGAUACUGAGUGGCUUCCUGGAUCUCCUGAGGCUAUCAGCGAGUCCUAUGUCUUCACCUUCUUCAUCAUUUCUUUUAAUUAAAUUUUAUUUCUAUCUCUAUAAACCAGGGUGUAAUUCUGGAGAACAACAUUGCAGGGACCAGAAGGAGCCAUACUUGAAGAUUUCCAAACAGGCAUCAUUGCGUUGUUAGACCACUAAGUAACGUCAAAAAAAAGUUUGCAGGAAGAAAAUAUUUCUAUUUUUUAUGCGCACCUAAAUUCUGUUGGUUAUUGAA